AUUGAACGCUGGCGGCAUGCUUUACACAUGCAAGUCGAACGGUAGAGGGGCAACCCUUGAGAGUGGCGAACGGGUGAGUAAUGCAUCGGAACGUGCCCAGUAGUGGGGGAUAGCCCGGCGAAAGCCGGAUUAAUACCGCAUACGACCUGAGGGUGAAAGCGGGGGAUCGCAAGACCUCGCGCUAUUGGAGCGGCCGAUGUCAGAUUAGGUAGUUGGUGGGGUAAAGGCCUACCAAGCCGACGAUCUGUAGCUGGUCUGAGAGGACGACCAGCCACGCUGGGACUGAGACCCGGCCCAGACUCCUACGGGAGGCAGCAGUGGGGAAUUUUGGACAAUGGGCGCAAGCCUGAUCCAGCCAUGCCGCGUGCGGGAAGAAGGCCUUCGGGUUGUAAACCGCUUUUGUCAGGGAAGAGAUCUUCUGGGCUAAUACCCCGGGAGGAUGACGGUACCUGAAGAAUAAGCACCGGCUAACUACGUGCCAGCAGCCGCGGUAACAC
rnacentral:rRNA from 1 species